rfam:Schistosoma curassoni strain Dakar, Senegal genome assembly, scaffold: SCTD_scaffold0004586
AUUCAGGUGAUGAGUCUUAAAUAGGAUGAAACACGUGUCUUGGAU